rnacentral:rRNA from 1 species
GUGCCAGCAGCCGCGGUAAUACGUAGGGGGCAAGCGUUGUCCGGAUUUAUUGGGCGUAAAGAGCGUGUAGGCGGCCAGGUAGGUCAGCUGUGAAAACUCGAGGCUUAACCUCGAGACGCCGGCUGAAACCCUCUGGCUAGAGUCCGGAAGAGGAGAGCGGAAUUCCUGGUGUAGCGGUGAAAUGCGCAGAUAUCAGGAAGAACACCCGUGGCGAAGGCGGCUCUCUGGGACGGUACUGACGCUGAGACGCGAAAGCGUGGGGAGCGAACAGGAUUAGAUACCCUUGUAGUCC